rnacentral:rRNA from 1 species
AUGUGCUAUCGGGAUCACAUCUGUUUUCCGGGCUUAUCAAAGGUCAAGCUCCCGCUUCCGAGUACUCGGUCGACAGACACAACUACUCGAUGGGUUACUACCUUGCGGAUGGCAUCUAUCCAUCAUGGGCCACCUUGGUCAAAAAAAAUCCAUGUCCAAACAAAAACACUCACUUUGCCUAAUGUCAAGAAGCUGCAAGAAAAGACGUGGAAAGAGCCUUCGGUGUGCUUCGGAAGCGCUUUGCAAUUGUUCGUGACCCUGCCGAGUACUGGAACUCCAAGGUUCUAUGGCGAGUCAACUUGUUGCAUCAUAUUGCAUAACAUGAUCACUGAAGACGAGAGAGAUAUGCCUGAGAACUUUAGGUACAUCACCAACGGGACUCCGGUUGAGCCAGAGUAUGAUACAAACAUGAUCUUGAGAGUCCUUGAGAGGCAUCGCAAGAUCGUGAACCGUCAAGUUCAUACUCAGCUCCAACAAGAUCUUGUUGAGCAUCAACAUCUAAGCGAGUCCUGGUUGUUCUAUGAAAUGCUAUUUGCU